ACACUUCAUUAUUCGUGCAGUUGGUAAAGAUAGCUACCUGUCCAGUCAAGACUGCUCCUGUUAGGGUGUUGGCUUGUGGUAUCAUCUCUUGCUUGGCUGUAGACCUGAUUAGCUGUAUCAGCUGUCCCUCCUUAGUUCCUGUUCAACCAAAGUAACGCAGAGAGGAGCUAAAGAUUUGAAGAUUACCAAGAUCAUAUAGAAACGGAUAAGAAUGAAGUCUUCAAAAGGAUGUGUGGUUGUUGCUGUGACCAUCCCUUUAUUGAUUCUUUUAUCAAUAAUCGCUAUUCUUCUAGCAAUAUUUUUGGUGAAAGUUCCAGAUAAUUUGAGAACUCAACAGUCUUCACAAUUCAUGUCAAAUGCAAGUAAUCUAU